UACGGAGGGGGCUAGCGUUGUUCGGAAUUACUGGGCGUAAAGGGCGCGUAGGCGGAUGUUCAAGUCGGGGGUGAAAUCCCGGGGCUCAACCCCGGAACUGCCUCCGAUACUGGACGUCUCGAGGACGGAAGAGGCGAGUGGAAUGCCGAGUGUAGAGGUGAAAUUCGUAGAUAUUCGGCGGAACACCAGUGGCGAAGGCGGCUCGCUGGUCCGUUUCUGACGCUGAGGCGCGAAAGCGUGGGGAGCAAACAGG
rnacentral:ncRNA from 2 species